CCCAACUCAAAUGUCGCUUGAGCUGCAUGCCAGUGAUGUGAACUGAAGCAAGUACAAGAGCUGUGCCUUUCGACUUCAAAAGCUAAAGGUAAGUUAACAUAAUUUAACCUCUGCCUACUUUGGUAAUUCGUCAGCAAUAUUGAAAACAAAAAUGUUUGUAAAAGACCAAGACUUCUGGUUGAAGUUAUUAACUUGUUAGCAAACAAAGCUAGCACACUUGACGUCAGCUAAGACAGCUAACCUAGCACAAUAAUUCAAUUGAAGCCAUGUCGACUGAGCUAACGUCUCUCAUAUGUUUUAAACUAGUGCCAGGUAAUACUAUGUCAGAAAGUGUCCCUAGUAGUCUUGUCUGUAAAAAGUAAGCAAGUUCAGAGGAUUCAUUUAGUGUGAAUGUCGGUGAUCUAAUAGCUAGUAGCUGCAGUUAGCUCUUAGCUAACUAGCUACUCUAUAGGUUAAGGAUCCCCCACCCUGAGUGAAGCUUCGACUUGAAGUUGAAGAUUUUUUUCUUUCUGAAAGAGUAACAACCCUUUUCUUUAAAUUACAGAUGGAGCAAUUGGACAAGACAACACAGUCGCUUCUGGAAGCUGCACAGGCCAUUGCCUUGUUGGAGGCGCUCCCAAAAAUGUUCCCUUACCCAACCGCCCCUCCAAGAAAAGUCGGCAAGUGAGGCACUGUACCAUGUUCUUGAGCCAUCUGAGGACGCCAAUGUCUUCUUGCGUAACUGAUGACCUUGCCAAGGGACAUGCUUCUGGAAUCCCUCAUGAUACUGAUGGGAUGCUACUAUGUGUUCCAGUUAACAUAUUCCAAGUGUAUUGCUAGGCUAUUGUCCAUAAUACAAACAGAUUUUAUUCACGAGAGUGACAAGACGACAACAUAUAAAAAGGUGCUUGCUGACUGUCAAGCAUUCAUCCAAACCUAGUCUGUCUCUCCCUCUCUCUUUGUCAACCUCCUACUGCAUGUCACUCUUCUGUAUGUCACUCCCCCCCCCCCCCCCCAACUCUUUCUCUAUAUGUCUGGAGGUCAGGACAGCACACAGUAACACAACGUCCAAUGUAUUUCCAGCUACAUUUGUCAAUGAUUUGUUGUGUUGUUUGAUGAAUUCUGACUGUUUGAUGUCUUGCUGAAUUGUCAUCGUUUAUGUAGAUGUCAAUGUACCUUAUGUCUGACAGUUUACUUAAAUCAUUAUGUGUAAUAUGUAAUUAAGUACAUUUAAGCAUUCUGAUGCUUAUUAUUGUUCACUACUCUCAAAUGGCUGUUAUUGGUUUUCUUCAUUAACAGGCUAAUAAAACAGUGAUAAAUAA